rnacentral:rRNA from 1 species
GCAGGCAGAUCCAAUUUUCUGCCCCGAAUACAUUAGCAUGGGAUAAUGGAAUAGGACCCUGUCCUCCUAUUUUCAGUUGGUUUUGGCAGCGCGAGGACUAGGGUAAUGAUUAAUAGGGAUAGUUGGGGGCAUUAAUAUUUAAUUGUCAGAGGUGAAAUUCUUGGAUUUAUGAAAGAUUAACUUCUGCGAAAGCAUCUGCCAAGGAUGUUUUCAUUAAUCAAGAACGAAAGUUAGGGGAUCGAAGACGAUCAGAUACCGUCGUAGUCUUAACCAUAAACGAUGCCGACCAGCGAUUAGGAGACGUUGAAUACAAAACACCACCAUCGGCGCGGUCGUCCUUGGCGUCUCGGUUUCGGCCGGGGCGCGGGGACGGCUUAGCCCGGUGGCACCGGUGAAUGACUC